CUGCAGCCUGCAUGCCUCACUCCAGGGUGUGGAAUCCGCAACACUGUAUCUGCUCAUUUCUAAAAAAGAACAUGUGAACUACACUAUCGACAAGCAGCUCCAUCUGAAUUCUACUGUCCAAUGUACAUAGUCAAACACCUUUGGCAAUCCAAAAUGCGAACUACGACCUGUGAUGUCCUUCAACGUCAAUUGGCUCUCAAUCUCCAUGGAGAUGCGGCGAGGGCACAGGAGUGGAGUGGAUGUCCGCGCCGGACAUGAGAAAUGAGCACAAUUACAGCUUUUGAGAGCAGCUGAAUCCAAUUCCGCCUCCACCCUUUGAGGACAACACCCCCGGUGACCCUCAGGUCGAGAGGUUUAUAACCUGAGGAAGCCCGGCGGUCACGUGACCUGCAGGUGACAACACACUGGAUUUCAUAUGACGCAGCAGCACUCUGUAGCUGUAGGUCUCUGAGCGGAGGCUGUGGG